UAAAGUAAUCGGAGGAAAUGGAGUGGAUCUUAAUCUUUAUUAUAGGCUGCGUUGUGGGAUAUCUUAUAUCGCAGAAUACAUAGGAACCAACCACCUUACAAAAUUCUUCCAGCUAAAUUAUUAAGCUGUAUUCAGUAGAUUCAAUCAGAACGAAGUGUACGUUUUGUAUGCUCUUAAAUAAGACAAAUUUUCCGUUAAUAUCUCGGGAAUUCAAGUUUCAUUAAAAUAUGCAGCGGUUUAUAACAUUCGUCGUUGGUGGAAUCGUCGGUUUCCUCAUCGCCAAGAAUACCCGCUAAACACAAUCAUGGCCUAUGUAAUAUGCUUUGGGAUGGGCAUGGUUUUUGGCAUGUUCGUAUGCCGCCGUUGUGAACCCAGAAUAAGAGGAAUCGACGAAUAAAUUAAGACCUUUAUCGGAAACCAGAUGCCCCGAGAACUAUAUUUAAAAUGAAUUUGGAAUAAAGAAAUCUGCCACAAUCA